CAGCCAGCCUGAAACCACAGACACCCGCUUGCCUCAGCUCUCCACGGCGAGCUCCUGUGAAGGGGACACGGACCGCCGGACCCCAGGGCCACGCUCAGCUGGCUCCCUUUGGGGAAAAGCUGGCCGGGCCCCAGCGCGCACGUCCCACCAAGGCCUUCCAUCUAACGGGGAAGAGGACACACAGCCACGUGGUCAGAAUGUGAGGAGAGCGCAGAGGGCUGAGCGCUGAGGUGGCUGAGAAGCGAGGCCGGGGUCUCCCUCUGCAGGCUGCCUACGCGCUGGACCCGGACCCGCAAUGGCAGGGACCGGGAACUACAGCAGGUCCUGGAUCAGACAGUGAACGCUGCCCGUGCAAGUGCCGAUUUGCCCCUUAGAGAAGAGGCAUUGUGGCAUAAUGGGCUAAGCUGCCAUUUGGGACACGUGCGGCCUGUAUCAGAGGGCCCAGAAGCGACUGCUGAAUCUACUGCAGAUGCAGUUCCUGCUCAUGCCUGCCCUGGGAGGCAGAAGAUGAUGGCCCAAACAGGUGGCCACUGACUUCCUUCCUGGAGCUCUGGGGAGUGAGGGCCGUGUCUGCUGGGCGGUCAGAGACAAAGGAGCCACACACCCCAGCUGCAUGAGCCCAGUUCACGGAACCUCGGCUACAAAUCUGCCUCUGUCUACUGCACCUGCCUUCCCUCCGGGCUUGCUCCACUCACACAUGUUGCACAAAUGAGGCAGCCAUGGAAGGGGAGCCAGGCUUGCAAGCUGAUACCAGGGAAGACCCUGCCUCCAAAUAUUUCCCCUCCACGCACCUGAUGCCUGGAUGCUGCUAGGAGCACACAGACUCCCACUCCAUGCUUAAUGGUAGCCGUGCACUGAGAGUGGGGAGACAUGGCCAGCUUUAUCUGCAGGGCACGUCUGAGUGUGGCAUGACGGGCAGGGAGGGGCGAGACGUCACCAGGGGAUUCGGGGUGGUUUGGGAGGUGGCUUAGGGAUCUGUGUGUCGCAGCCCCAGCAUCAGUGCCGUGCCCUGACUUCCGGUGGCACCUUGCCCUGUGUGCACGCUGUGUGGACGGGACUCCUGCAGGGGCGAAGGCCCCAGACCUGUCUGUGGACAUCUGCGAAGGCCUGUGGACGGCUAGAAUGGCUGCUCUGUCUGCAAUGCCCUCGUCUUGCUCUGGUUCCAUCAGCUCCUGACUCCCCUGCGUUUCAGGGCUGCUCGCCUCCCCUGUCAGCAGUGCAGUCCCUCUUCCCUGCGCAGACUCACCGAG